GAAGUCCGAAGGUCUGGUCCACAGCAAGUCUUCUGCCCCCAGUGAUGGAGCUGUGUGCUGAGGAGGAAGGGAAGGGUGUCAGGGUGGUACAGGAAGAGGAAGGGAAGAAGGAAGGGUGUCAGGGAGGUACAGGAAGAGGAAGGGAAGAAGGAAGGGUGUCAGGGAGGUACAGGAAGAGGAAGGGAAGAAGGAAGGGUGUCAGGGAGGUACAGGAAGAGGAAGGGAAGAAGGAAGGGUGUCAGGGAGGUACAGGAAGAGGAAGGGAAGAAGGAAGGGUGUCAGGGAGGUACAGGAAGAGGAAGGGAAGAAGGAAGGGUGUCAGGGAGGUACAGGAAGAGGAAGGGAAGCCACUAAAGAAUUAAAACAGCAACAAGAAGAGAAGGAAAGAAGAAAAAAUAUACCGUAUAGGAAGGGGAAGGCAGGAAAGAGUUAGCAAGAAGAAGAGAAAGGAAAAAAUGAUAAUAAUAGCAAAAAUAAACUAGAAAAGAAGUAAAGAGCAAAAAAUAAUAAUAACAAUAGCAAAAGUAUACCAUGUCAAUAGAUUUCAUGACCCUCCAACACCUCGCCAUGUCAAUUCACUUCAUUUUUAUUCAUUUCCAGCCUCGAUUCAACUCGUAUUAACACACGCGCACACGCACACACAUAACCAGCCCCUCCCAUGAAGCAUUUGUGUCAUGAGAAGCAAGUCUGACCUUUGACCCCUGACCUAACUAACCCUAGACUCCGACAAUUCCGGAAAACAUCAGAAAAAACAAGAAUUUCCAACCGAAACCUCAAAAAAUCGACACUCGUAACACACACACACACACACACUUUUAACCAGCCUCUCCCAUGUAGCAUUCGUGUCAUGAGAAGCAAGUCUGACCUUACUGACCCUAGACUCCGACAACUCCAGAAAACAUCAGAAAAAAAACAAGAAUUUCUAACCAAAACCUCAAAAUCUCUCCUGGAAAACUUAUUAUUAAACCCAUUUCCAGCCUCGACUGACCUUAUAUUAGCCUCCGAAAACCUCACAACCUCAGAACACAUCAGAAAAGGCAAGAAUUUACAACCAAAACCUCAAAAUUGCGACUCUAUAUUGAAAUCUCUCCUGGAAAACCUAUUAAUAAGCCAAUUUCCAACCUCGACUGACCUUAUAUUAGCCUCCGAAAACCUCACAACCUCAGAACACAUCAGAAAAGGCAAGAAUUUACAACCAAAACCUCAAAAUCGCGACUCUAUAUUGAAAUCUCUUCUGGAAACCCUAUUACUAAACCCAUUUCCAGCCUCGACUGACCUCAUAUAAGCCUCAGAAAACCUCACAACCUCAGAACACAUCAGAAAAACAAGAAUUUCCAGCCAAAACCUCAAAAAAUCGACACUCAUAACACACACACACACACAACCAGCCCCUCCCGUGUUGCAUUCGUGUCAUGAGAAGCGAGUCUGACCUUUGACCCCUGACCUAACUAACCCUAGACUCCAGCAGUGACCUCCAGUACCU